rnacentral:rRNA from 1 species
CCUACGGGAGGCUGCAGUGAGGAAUAUUGGUCAAUGGGCGAGAGCCUGAACCAGCCAAGUCGCGUGAGGGAGUACUGCCCUAUGGGUUUUAAACCCUUUUUGUCGGGGAGCAAAAGCCGGACGUGUCCGGCUGUGAGAGUACCCGAAGCAAAAGCAUCGGCUAACUCCGUGCCAGCAGCCGCGGUAAUACGGAGGAUGCGAGCGUUAUCGGGAUUUGUUGGGUUUAAAGGGUGCGCAGGAGGAUUUUUAAGUCAGCGGACAAAUCGUGGGGCUCAAACCCAUCCAGCCGUUGAAACUGGGGAUCUAGAGUGUGCGAGAGGUAUGCGGAAUGCGUGGUGUAGCGGUGAAAUGCAUAGAUAUCACGCAGAACCCCGAUUGCGAAGGCAGCAUACCGGUGCACAACUGACGCUCAGGCACGAAAGCGUGGGUAUCGAACAGGAUUAGAUACCCGAGUAGUC